GAGGAAUGAAGUUGUUUUCUUCUGAGUUGCCCUGUGCCUUGUUUUCUUACAUGGAACCUUUAUCUGGUAGGGAAUUUUGCCUUUCCAGUGUCUAUUACCGCGGUUUAAAAAGGUGACAAACAGGGCUAGCGGUAGGACCCAGGAGGACCGUCGGCUUGGCGGACCUAGGGAAUGCUGGAGGACUCGGCCCCUUCCCAGAAAGCACCACGGCUGCGGAAGCGUGGGUCUUGGCCGCCCCACCAUGGAUGCGCUUUCGAAUGGCAACGGCGCGGCGCUGGCGAAGCGCGGGCGGGGGAGGCGCCGGCGGCAGCCGCAGUCCCGCGGCGCGUCGGUCCUGGCCCUGCCCUUGCGGUCCCGGAAGGUCCGAAGGCACCGGAAAAGUGCGGCGUCCCGCGUGGCUGCGCUGAGAGCUCGCGCGCUCCUGAGCCGGGACUCGGACUCGAAGGUGGCAUCGGUCGGGGGCAAGCGGAAGGGUCCUGCAGAGCUGCUGGAGGCCUCGGGGGCGGCCGAGCCGCGGCCGGUGGCAGUGCGCCCGAGGCCGGCUUCGGCGACCCUGCCGCGCCGGGUGGAGGGCCGGGUCGCGCUCUCCCGGAACCUGGGGACACCGGCUCCGCCGCCGGGCUCGCACGUGGAUGACCCGGAGCGGCCCCGGGAUUCGCCGCUGCAGCAAGUGUUAGCGGAGCUGAACGGCAUCCCCAGCAGCCGGAGGCGCGCCGCCCGCCUCUUCGAGUGGCUCUUGGCGCCCCUGCCGCCGGACCACUUCUACCGGCGGCUGUGGGAGCGGGAGGCGGUGCUGGUGCGGCGGCAGGACCACAGCUACUACGAAGGUCUAUUCUCCACCGCCGACCUGGACUCGAUGCUGCGGGACGAGGACGUGCACUUCGGGCAGCAUCUGGACGCCGCGCGCUACAUCGACGGGCGGCGGGAGACCUUGAACCCACCGGGCCGCGCACUUCCCGCCGCCGCGUGGUCCUUGUACCAAGCCGGCUGCUCCUUACGUCUUCUUUGCCCGCAAGCUUUCUCGCCCACCGUGUGGCAGUUUCUGGCUGUGCUCCAGGAACAGUUUGGAAGCAUGGCAGGCUCCAACGCUUACCUCACGCCCCCCAACUCGCAGGGCUUUGCUCCUCACUACGACGACAUUGAGGCUUUCGUGUUGCAGCUGGAAGGUCGGAAACUCUGGCGCGUCUACCGACCGCGGGACCCAAGUGAGGAGUUGGCCCUGACAUCCAGUCCCAACUUCAGCCAGGAGGACCUUGGUGAGCCAGUGCUACAAACGGUACUGGAACCUGGAGACCUGCUCUAUUUUCCUCGGGGCUUCAUUCAUCAAGCUGAAUGUCAGGAUGGAGUCCACUCUCUGCACCUCACCUUGUCCACCUACCAGCGCAAUACAUGGGGUGACUUCCUGGAGGCUGUUGUCCCUCUGGCAGUGCAGGCAGCAAUAGAGGAAAAUGUGGAGUUCCGCAGGGGUCUUCCUCGGGACUUCAUGGAUUACAUGGGAGCCCAGCAUUCAGACUCUAAGGAUCCCAGAAGAACAGCUUUCAUGGAAAAGGUGCGGGUCUUGCUUGCUCGCCUGGGACACUUUGCUCCUGUCGAUGCUGUGGCUGACCAGAGAGCAAAAGACUUCAUUCACGAUUCCCUGCCCCCUGUGUUGACCGAUAGGGAAAGGGCUCUAAGUGUUCACGGGCUCCCAAUUCGCUGGGAGGCUGGAGAACCUGUAAAUGUGGGGGCCCAGCUGACAACAGAAACAGAAGUCCAUAUGCUUCAGGACGGCAUAGCGCGGCUGGUGGGUGAGGGAGGCCGCUUGUUCCUGUAUUACACAGUAGAAAACUCUCGGGUUUAUCAUCUGGAGGAACCCAAGUGCUUAGAAGUCUACCCCCAGCAGGCUGAUGCCAUGGAACUCUUACUUCGAUCCUACCCAGAGUUUGUGAGAAUAGGGGAUCUGCCCUGUGACGCUGUGGAAGACCAGCUUUCCUUGGCAACCAUGUUAUAUGAUAAGGGGCUGCUGCUCACCAAGACACCUCUAGUUCCGAGUUAGUUCUUGAGGAUGACUGGAAAGCCUGCGGUUGGGACUCUCCAGCACCACUGCCACCUUUUGUCUGUUUUUACAGAGGCCGUGUUCUUACCUUGCUGAGCGUCAGUAUGGUUACGUUUACCUUUAGGAUUUUCUCCGUGUUGCAAACCUCAGACCUGAAAAGAACCUCUUCAUCUAGGUACAAAAGGAAACACAGACAUUGAAACAGGGAGGGAAAAGCUAUUUGCAGCAGUAGCCCCGACCCCUGCCAUUUCAGAGCAUCAACUUCAAGGAAGUUGCUUCCUUGAGUUCUCUCUCAUCAGUUUGCGGGGCGAGCUGGGUUGGAUGAAACUUUCCCAAAUCUGGCAAGUGCAUGUUCUCAUGACUGGUGGAAAAGAGCCUGGUGCACCAGAAACAGCACUUGGAACCAGAAGACCUGGGUUUGGGGUGGUGGCUGGUAGGCCACUGGCCGAGUGAUCUGAGGCUGCUGCUUACAGAUUUUGUGUUUUACGGCCAGUUCCAUCUUCAGUAUUUUCUCCGUCAGUACGUCCUUUUGGUUUAGUGUUUGGAUCUAAGGGACAAAAUUUUAAAAGCAACCGACC